GUCCUGACCACUGGAGAAGAGCAAUGAGCAUCCAGCCUUCAUGGCACCCCAGCCAGGGGUGGAUUAUCCAAUAGGCAAGCAUGUGGUCUCUGCAGAAGCAUCCGGAGCCCAGCGCAGCAGCUGCCAUCACCGGGAGGAAGGGGUCCCUCUUUGCUGCCUUCCACCUGCACUUGGACACUGGCCCAGGACUGUCAUUUGGGGAAGACGGCACAGUCGGGGAGGCUUCCCAGCCAAGACGAAACUGUUCACCAGGCACAUCUGCCCUCGGGCAUGCAUGCAACCCUGGGCCAGCACACGCAGGGUCACAGCAGAGGAAGCGCUCAGGCUCUGGACACCCAGUACCAAGGAGGCCACACCAGGCCCCAGACAGGCGUCCAGGCUCAUGCAGGGCUCAGUGGACUGAGGGGCUGAGGCCUUGCCCCCAGUACUGUGGGGUCUGAACUCCUCACUGAGUCCCAGCAACCCCCACAGUAUGCCCAAGAGCCACCAACCAACUUUCUAGACCUGACCCCACCUCCAUCCCACCAAGCAAAGCUCUAGACAGCUUCCGUGGAUCUCCAGGGUCAACUAAGGUCAGUAUAUGACAGUAUUUAAGAGUA